rnacentral:rRNA from 1 species
UACGUAGGGGCAAGCGUUGUCCGGAAUCAUUGGGCGUAAAGAGCGUGUAGGCGGUCCGGUAAGUCGGCUGUGAAAGUCUAGGGCUCAACCCUGGGAUGCCGGUCGAUACUGCCGGACUAGAGUUCGGAAGAGGCGAGUGGAAUUCCCGGUGUAGCGGUGAAAUGCGCAGAUAUCGGGAGGAACACCUAUGGCGAAGGCAGCUCGCUGGGACGUUACUGACGCUGAGACGCGAAAGCGUGGGGGG